UAGGACCAAUGAAGAUAGGUUAAGACCAAAAAAAAGAUAAUGCAAGUGGAAAAUCAAGAGACAAACACAGACAGAGAGGCAAAGAAAGAGAAGAUGCUACUUGGGAAGUACUAAGAUGAGUAACUACUGCCUCAUUUUUGACCCUAUACUCUUUUUUUGUGUGUGAAAGUAACAGGCUUCCUUGGCACAGAUAAACUGGAAAUAUCUUUGGUAGGGAAAAGAAGCAAGUUUUCUUUGAAAUAUGAAGGUAGAAAUAGGAAGAGUUUGGACCUAUUACUCCUAAAAUUCAUCUUGCCACACAUGUGAUAACCAAUAGACAGAAGCUAUUUUAACAAUUUAAAUUUUUAACUUAAACUAUUUUAAAAUAAGACCCUACGUACAACUGUCAGCAAACAAACUUAGAAAAAGUAAGGCUAGCAUAGACCAUAGGAUACAUACAACACCAUGUUAAUCCUGGGAAUGGUUAUCACCCCCAGUAUCUUCACCACAUGCCAACUGUCUGGAUCCACCAUCAGAAAUAUACUUUGAAAACCAUGAAGGCUUACUCUUAUCUGCUUCUUUUAAAAAGUCCAAAGCAUCUCUGGAACUAUUUAAGAAAAAUAAUAAUGACUGAACUCUACCUUAGAGAGUAUAUAUUUGGAAGAAUUUGGGCUUGGGGGAAAGAACUGAAAUUUCAAAAUGUCUGUCUUCCAUGAAGAAUAAUCUGCCUCUUUUACUGAAUAACAGUCUGCUGAGUUUCAGUGGUCCAAGACAGACAGAAAGUGAAAGCAAAAUGUCAGCUCCUAUUAUUUCAAGUGAUGUUAACAGCUGCUAUGGGGAAAAAUGGGAUUCCAUGAUCAAACAGUUUGAUAAACUGGGGGUUAAACAAAGUUUCAUGUACAUAAACUACAGGACUUGUCCGAGCUUAUACUAUGCUGAUGUGUACUGUGAAUAUGCCAGAUGCAUAGGGCCCAGAAUUUCCUGAUCUCUCUAACUACGUACCCCAUUAGUUAACUGGAGCAUUGGGAGACUAGUGUUCUUUCAUAUAGCAUCAUUUAAGAAAAGCUAUUCUAGGUCAGGCAUUACCAUAUCCAGCUGAUCAUCAAAAUAUCUGGAGAUAUACAUAGAUGAAUAGAUACACAGAUACAGAAACACAGACUGUGGGUACUAUCCAGACUUACAGACUCAUAAUUUCUGGAAACAAAAACAUAGGAAGCCCAGAAAUUUGUGCUUUUUGUUAAACUCUCUGGAUAAUUUUGUUAAUCAAUCAAUUUAAGGAUCAUGCAUAGAUAAAGACUUGGGUAUACAGAAUGUUCCAAAAGUCUUUGUCUAGUUUUAAGCUUUAAUAACUUCAGAAGUAUAAUGAUACAAACUUAGAAUAAACAUUCAAAGGUUAUUUAAAUGCUUAAAAUAUUGAUGUUUCUUAUUAAAAUUUAACAUUGCUACCAUCUCGUACUACACAUUGCUUUGAAAAUUGUAGCCAAACUUCGUAAAAAAAAAAAAAUUACAAGGACUGCAUUUGUAAUCCUAUCCUUAAUAUCACUCAAAGAAUGAGGUAUUGAAACAUAGGCAAUAGUUUUGAUGUCACCCCACAAGAGUCGAAGGGAGUGAGAUUGGGUUAUCAAAGUGGCCAAGGAAAAGGACUUUUUCUACCAGAAACUGUGGAGGUGACAUCAAAAAAGAUUUAAAUUUUACUUUUUAUUCUUAUUUACUUAUGCUAUUACCUCAGCAAUCUGUUAUUGUCUCAAGAAUAAUAACAUUAGAUGGUCACGAUGAAUACUGUAAGGAAUAAAAGGGUCCAAGUUGUUUCUAAAUUAUCAAAGUAAAUUCACAUUCACUGCAAUUGCAAUGUGCAUUAUACUUAAGAAAAGUAGCAAUCCAAGAACUGUAACACUGUAACUCAUACAUUAAUAAGAUAAUCAUUUAACAAAAAUGCCCAUUCCUCAAGCACUACAGGUAAGGGACAAAUUUUAAAUCUCAUUUAAAUAAACUUGCAGAGAGUGGUAUUUCAGAGAGGUAUUUCAGUAAAACUGUUUAGUAGCAGAAAUUGUGGAGAUGAUUUUUUUAAAAGACCUUGCUAAAUCUUUACAAUGUAAAUGUAUGAUUUCAUUUUUAUUUUACAAUGGACUAGCAAUGAAUAGAAUGUAUCAAGAAGAUACACUUUAAAAUGUAUUUCAAGAGGAUCACUGCAAAGUGUAUGGAUUAGGCAUCUAUUCACAAGGAGCAAUUUGAAGAGCAUCAGAGUCAAUGGAGGAUGCAAGAUGAAACAGAAAGAGAAAGAAUUUAGAAAGACUGUCUGAUUAGGUCUCAUGUACUGUGCUAACAUAUGUAGGUGGGUUUACCUAUCAGAGGCCAGCCUCUCUAUCCAAGCUGUUGUGUAAGACACGCAUUCAUUUAUUCAUUAAUAACUACAUUUAAAUACCGUUAGCACUAUGACAAUAAGAAAAGGAGAUACAGUCAUGUAGAUAUUGUUGGGGAGACAAGGAAGACCAAGACAUGUGAGGUGAAUAUACAUGACAAAGCAGUUGGUAUAGAUUAGGUAUUCAAAGCACACAUAUAUUACUUUCAUAAAUGUCCCAAUUUUGUCCCCAAAUACUUUCGCAAAUAGCUAGACAUGAUGAUAAAAAAAAACUCAUCCAAUUUUGGCAUGAGGACCUGGUUUCCAAAAAGCCAUAUUAAAAUUUAAAUUAGAAAAUACUGUGAGGGAGAAGGUGAAGGAAGGAACUAAUAGUUUCAAAGAACACACUAUUACUUUUGAUACUCAGAAAAAUCCAUACUGUUAAUAUUCCCAUCUUUAACUGAGGAAACGGAAGCACAAAGAAGUUAAAUGAAUUUCCUAAAGUCAUGUAGUUAAUAUGUGGUAAAGGUGAAGUCUGAACAUGCAUGUAACGCCAAAAUCUUUUCUUUGCCAAUAGUAUCACCAGAGAUGGAAUUACCAUGAAGAAAUGAUAUUUAAGCUUCUUGGCCCAAUAUUCACAUGAGAUUUUCCCACUGACCUCAGAAGGGCCUUUAGCAACCUAGAUAAAUGAUGUCAUCAACUCAAAGAUACUUAAGACUGGUCCCUGCCCAAGAAAAUUUCACACAUCUGAAAACUUACUUCCCACUCAUGAAAGAAAUUUGAUAGAGGUUUUCUCAAAUUUAGCAAUCUUUUUUUUUUUUUUGUCUUUUUGCUAUUUCUUGGGCCGCUCCCACGGCAUAUGGAGGUUCCCAGGCUAGGGGUCGAAUCGGAGCUGUAGCCACUGGCCUACGCCUGAGCCACAGCAACACGGGAUCCGAGCCACGUCUGCAACCUACACCACAGCUCACGGCAACACCGGAUCGUCAACCCACUGAGCAAGGGCAGGGAUCGAACCCGCAACCUCAUGGUUCCUAGUCGGAUUCGUUAACCACUGCGCCACGACAGGAACUCCUCAAAUUUAGCAAUCUUAAACAUUUACAUCAGAUGACCAAUAACAUGGUGUGAAGUGAAAAGAAAAUUUUCUAAACUACCAAAAAAAAAAAAAAUGUGAUCUAUUAUGCCAGAGAAACAACCAAAUUAUGUUUACAUUUUCUCUAGGGAAAUUGAUAUUACAAAAUUUCUCUAUCAUAUGAAAGGCAAUCCAAAAAUAUGCAGCCAAAUGUGCAGGGUAAAAGGCAUAAAUGUAUGGUAGUCAAAAUAUUAUGCUAUUUUCUAGAUUUUGUGAUGAUGCCAUAUUUUCAACUUCUGAAAUUUUGAAAUUUGUUAGACUUUUGCUCAUUUUAAAUAAAUGUUUCCCUUUGUACCUAAUUUUAUAUUCUUUUUCUAAAAGAGGGGCCCCAGAUUGCAUAAACUUCCAGCCUUAUAACCUAAACUAUCAAAUCCCCAGCUUCCAGACAAAAGAAAUGUCCACGAGGAAGCAGCCCAGUGGAUGGCCAGCGUGUGACAGUGAAACAAAUAAAAAGAUACUCAUUCCCAGAGACUGAAGGCCUGAGAGAAGGUGGGAGCAAGUCUCAUAAGGCAGAGAAGAGCAGAAGAAAAGAUACCACCUGGGAGGGCAAAUCUAUCAGAGGACAAUGGGUCAUGAGAAGGGAAAUGACCAAAUACAAAAUACUGUACUGGACAGUCUUUAUGGUUCAAUCUGCAUUCCAUGGUCUUUGCUGUUUUGGUCAUCUUCUAGAGAUUUCAAAUACCUUAUCUUUAUCUGGUCAAAUAUUUCACUUACAUACCUUUCAAGAACCUGAUUUAUAUUAAUUUGAAUACUUAAUUUAGGGUCAUCACAGAGAAUCCAAGAAGAAAGAAUCUUAAAAGUCCUAUAGAAGGGGCUUCAUUUUAUAAAGAGGAAACUUGACUUACUCAAGACCACACAGCUCUUUGGAGAUAAAAGUUGAAUCAAUCGAGUAAUCGGAUAUAACUGAAUAUCUCUUCUGUGGUUAAGGCACUGAGAGAAGCAGGAAAAACAGGAAGAACCAGCCUUAUAUCCCUAAUUUUUAGGGUUAAAAUGUAGUGUUUAGGACUAUGAAUAAUAUACAUAAACAUAUUAUGUAAAUAUACGUGCAUACAAGUAUAAUACAUAUAUGUAUUCCCUACAUAUAUACAUGCACAUAUAUAUGUAUAGUAUUGUGUAUUGUAUUCAUAGGAUAUAUAUAGUGUAUAGUCAGUUAUUUAGAGCAAUAAAAUGAAAAUGCUAUAAAAAUAUAGAUGAAAAAACUUCAUUAAAUAUAUAGUGCAUCAGAGAAUCUUAGGGUGUUGAUGUACUCAGCAAUUUUAAACAUGAGUAUUAACAGGAAAAGUAAAAUAUAUUUUUAUGACUGCCUAUGCAAACAAAAUUCAAAUAUGACAGAAUUCUCUCUUAAUUGUUCAUAUUUUCCAUUUUUAUAAUGUAAAUGAAUGUUAUACAUCUUUUUAAAAGCAAAUGAUUUUAAGUUAAUAUCAGCUAGACUUUAUAUAUCUAUACAUAUAGACAUAGAUAUAUAUACAGCUGAAUCUUCAGAAAUGAGAGCCUGAUAAAAUGUGGACUUUGGCAUUAAGGAAGUCAAAGGCAACAAGAUGUCUAUUACUUUGCAAACUGCCCCUGUCCUUACAACAACCCAAAUUAGUUUUGCCUUUAACUGGACUCAUGAGAGCAAUGUUGCAUCAAGUUAAUCCACCAAAAAGCAAACUUCAAAACUCUAAAGAGAUUUGUCUUCCCUAAUCUAAAUUAAAACACUGAAGGGGACAGAUUAAAACACAAAAGAGGUCAUGGACAUUUCAAAAUAAUUCCAGUCCAAGUUAUCUCCUGUCCCCUAACCCCACCCCACCCCACUUCCCUCCAAAAAAACUUAAAAAUGAGUGUUGAAAUAGGGCCCAAGGUACAUUAGCUUUCUAGUAAUAUCACAGCUGUCUGAAAGCUGAGGGGAAACCCUCCAAGCAGGAUUAUGGUUUCUUCCUUUUUUGUAGUUGUUGUGUUUCAUGCUGUUCAUUUUGGGUAUUUGAAAACAGAAGAAAGAGUAGACAGCUGGAUGGACAGACAAACAACUGCUUGAAGCCAGAUUGUUAGUGGCUUAAGCAGUAAUCUUUUAAGUGUAUUGCCAAACAUAGCACAAAGAGAUCUGAAAUAGCUCUUGACUGAAAAGGCUGAGAUGUGGGAACAACACACCUCAAACUGCUUUUCUGACCUGAAACUUUAACAUGUUACUUUCAUCUUGUUAAAAGGUGCAUAAGGUUUGGAGUCGUCCUUUAUCGGAUGUGUCCCCACUGCCUUUUUCAACUGUCAGUUGAAUUACUCAAAUUUUUACAUAAUAAUGGAAAAAUAUUAUCUCCUCAAUUCAUGUUGUGUCAACAUAAAAACUUUAGUAAUCCACCAGAAUUAGAAUAAAUGAAACCAUUUCAACUGUAUUUUUCCUUGCUUUACAACCAGAUGACAGACAAAAGUAUGACUAUGUAAACCAUUCCAGUUAGGCAUAUUGGCCUAUGCCAUUAAGAUUUCAAGGCAAGAAACUCUCAACGGAAUCAUAAAAUUUCAGUUGAAAACUGGACUAAUAACAAUUUCCAUAUGAACAUCAACGCAUUAGUGGAACAAAUACCUGUACCAAAAUCUCCCUGGGGAAAUACACAUAAUGAUUAUUUUUAUCGGUAUAAAAAUAGAAACAGCAAUAGAAAAUAGAUAACGAUUAAGAUUUUUGAAAGCUUGAAAAAAUAUUCUGAGUGUUUCUUUUCACAAAUAAAAGCAGAAAACACAAAACCAUCUAUACACUGCACUCUCUUAUCUUUAUUCCAUUCAUCGCAUUUCCUUCUGCAUUUGAGAGGGGUGAGGGGAGCGUUGCAAAAAUGAAACUUGAAAGUAUUUAACUAAUGCAAAUUAAGACAACAUAAAUGUAUAUGUUAAAAAAAAACUUAUCCCCUACCCCAUUUCCCAAAUGUUAAUAUAUAUUCUUUUCGUUUCCUAUGCUUAUACUCUAUAUAUAAUUAUAUAGUGUAUAUGUAACUAAAUACAUACAUAUAUACCAUAAUUUGCAAGUAUUUUUAAACUUACUCAAGAAACUGUAAGACAGCCACAACACCAGUGAGACUACACAUUCUGUAGUUCAAAGUAUAUAAAUUUUUGUUAGCUCCAAUCCAAGGUAUACAGAAGGCAUACAAGGUAAACAACUUUAUACGAAGUAUACAGUCUACAUUCUUCCAGGAAAUUUUUAUGGAAAUAUUAGAAUUACCUGCCAAGUAAAAAUAAUCAUUAUAAGAUUAUAAGAAUAAUGUAAGUUACCAAAUCAGAAAAC
rnacentral:lncRNA from 1 species